rnacentral:lncRNA from 1 species
CUGUAUGAGUUAAAAUGUGGAUGAUUCGGGGUCCUCCGAGGGCACCCGACAGACUUCUUGAGUCAUUUGGAACUCGUGCACGCCGAUCAGAAGUCUUUGAGACAAUGAUGGGUGCAUGUGGGCCAAUUAAUUCAGAAGGUUCUGCCACAGAGUGGUAUCAGAGCUCAUACAUGGAUCUUCUACAACAUUACUAGUGAAAAACUUCAAAAGGAUUUUACAAAUUAAAGUUUUGAGGAUAACAACUUUAAAUGCUCCUUAACUUUU